rnacentral:rRNA from 1 species
GAUGAACGCUGGCGGCGUGCCUAAUACAUGCAAGUCGAGCGAACGGACGAGAAGCUUGCUUCUCUGAUGUUAGCGGCGGACGGGUGAGUAACACGUGGAUAACCUACCUAUAAGACUGGGAUAACUUCGGGAAACCGGAGCUAAUACCGGAUAAUAUUUUGAACCGCAUGGUUCAAAGGUGAAAGACGGUCUUGCUGUCACUUAUAGAUGGAUCCGCGCUGCAUUAGCUAGUUGGUAAGGUAACGGCUUACCAAGGCAACGAUGCAUAGCCGACCUGAGAGGGUGAUCGGCCACACUGGAACUGAGACACGGUCCAGACUCCUACGGGAGGCAGCAGUAGGGAAUCUUCCGCAGAGGGCGAAAGCCUGACGGAGCAACGCCGCGUGAGUGAUGAAGGUCUUCGGAUCGUAAAACUCUGUUAUUAGGGAAGAACAUAUGUGUAAGUAACUGUGCACAUCUUGACGGUACCUAAUCAGAAAGCCACGGCUAACUACGUG